UACGUAGGGUGCAAGCGUGUCCGGAAUUAUUGGGCGUAAAGAGCUCGUAGGCGGUUUGUUGCGUCGGCUGUGAAAUCCCGAGGCUCAACCUCGGGUCUGCAGUCGAUACGAGCAAACUAGAGUGUUGCAGGGGAGACUGGGAAUUCCUGGUGUAGCGGUGAAAUGCGCAGAUAUCAGGAGGAACACCGGUGGCGAAAGGCGGGUCUCUGGGCAACAACUGACGC
rnacentral:rRNA from 1 species